rnacentral:rRNA from 1 species
GACGAACGCUGGCGGCGUGCUUAACACAUGCAAGUCGAACGGUGAAGCGCCUUCCUUUUUGGUGGGUGUGGAUGAGUGGCGAACGGGUGAGUAACACGUGAGUAACCUGCUCCCUUCUUCUGGAUAACCGCAUGAAAGUGUGGCUAAUACGGGAUAUUCUGGGUCUGUCGCAUGAUGGGUCUGGGAAAGAUAUUGUUUCGGUGGGGGAUGGGCUCGCGGCCUAUCAGCUUGUUGGUGGGGUGAUGGCCUACCAAGGCGGUGACGGGUAGCCGGCCUGAGAGGGUGGACGGUCACACUGGGACUGAGACACGGCCCAGACUCCUACGGGAGGCAGCAGUGAGGAAUAUUGCACAAUGGGCGCAAGCCUGAUGCAGCGACGCCGCGGGGGGGAUGGAGGCCUUCGGGUUGUGAACCUCUUUCGCCAGUGAAGCAGGCCUGCCUCGUUUGUGGGUGGGUUGACGGUAGCUGGAUAAGAAGCGCCGGCUAACUACGUG